UUAGUUCUAAGGUCAAACAGAAUGGAGUUUUCUCCAAUUCCUAAUGCCUAUUUCUGUAUGUAUGCUCUUCUUUCUAACUAAGCAUUGUUCACGUCAAGUUGUAGCAGAUUGAUGAAGGCUUCUUCUCUGCACGGAAUAGUGAGGCCUCCCAUUUGGUGAUGGAACCCAAAUUCUUCUUCAGCUUUCGUAAGGAGAUUCUGGAACGAUGGAUUUUGCAGAUAUGAUAUCGGAAUCACAAAUCGCCUUUUCUGGCACUCCCCAACAUAGACUGCAACAUGUCCUUUAGGGACGCCGACUGCUUUUGAGACCGCUCGUGCCUUGGGAAGGAUCUGCUUGAGGAAUUGGAUUGCCAUGAGUGGCUAUUUUUGAUGGAUACUCGGAGAAACUUGAAGAGGAUUGGAGAAAGAAGAAAGAAGAAGAGAACCCUACAUGAACAACAACCAGAAAUUAAUUGGAAGGUAGAGAUUGAAAUAGAAGAUAUUCACAAGGUACUCACAUGGCAUUGUCUCCUUAUUUAAUUCCGUGUCUCAUCUCUUCUAGUGGGUCUCUAUCAUAAAUGAAUGCCUUUAUCAUAAUCAUGUGUGGAUGAGAUGCGCUGGCUAUUUGUAUCUUCGCUCCAAAUUCUUCUCUCCACUAUUAAAGGAAACACAUCAUAUGUCAUUUGUUUAGCUAGAGCCAGAGAGGGCAAAUGCAACACUUACUGAAGCAUAGAUAAAGACAUAGCAUGUGAUGAUUUUCUUCUUUGCUGGUAGCAUUUCUUUCAAUGUUGUGAACAGGCGGUCCUUCUAAGCCAUGGCCCAGUUUAAUGGAAUGGAAUGAAAGUUUAAGUUCUUAUA